GCUGGGGUGACGCAGGGGGCUGGGGGGUGCCGGGUUGAUGUGGGGGUGACGUGGGGAGGCUGGGGUGAUGUGGGGGGACCGGGGGUGACGCGGCGGGGGGGGCCGUGCCCAGGUCCAGGCCCACGUGUGGGUGAAGGGGGGCUGCGAGGCCAGCAAGUGCGGCAAGUGCCAGAAGAAGAUCAAGAGCUUCCAGAGCCUGACGGGGCUGCACUGCGUCUGGUGCCACCUCAAGGUGGGCACGUCCCUGUCCCCGAGGGGGUGGGGGACCCCCCCCCCCACCAUGGCCCCCCUCCCCAGCCCCCCCCCCUCACCCCGCUCUGUCCCCAGAUCCACGAGGAAUGCCAGCCCCUCGUGCCCCCCGCCUGCGACUGCGGGGUCCUGCGGGACCACAUCCUGCCCCCCGCCGCCAUCUACCCCGUCCUGCUGGAGCGGCAGGACAGCCAGCGGGACGGCAGCGGGACGCCGGUGGAGGAGACGCCACAGGUCUUCACCACCCCCGAGGGCCAGGCGCUGCGGGUCAGCCCCGUGCCCGACACCCACCCGCUCCUCGUCUUUGUCAACCCCAAGAGCGGAGGGAAGCAGGGGGAGAGGUAAGGGGGGGGGGGGGUCUGGGGGGACUGAGGGGA
rnacentral:lncRNA from 1 species